rnacentral:rRNA from 1 species
GCGAACGCUGGCGGCAGGCUUAACACAUGCAAGUCGAACGGGCACCUUCGGGUGUCAGUGGCAGACGGGUGAGUAACACGUGGGAACGUGCCCUUCGGUUCGGAAUAACUCAGGGAAACUUGAGCUAAUACCGGAUACGCCCUUCUGGGGAAAGGUUUACUGCCGAAGGAUCGGCCCGCGUCUGAUUAGCUUGUUGGUGGGGUAACGGCCUACCAAGGCGACGAUCAGUAGCUGGUCUGAGAGGAUGAUCAGCCACACUGGGACUGAGACACGGCCCAGACUCCUACGGGAGGCAGCAGUGGGGAAUAUUGGACAAUGGGCGCAAGCCUGAUCCAGCCAUGCCGCGUGAGUGAUGAAGGCCUUAGGGUUGUAAAGCUCUUUUGUCCGGGACGAUAAUGACGGUACCGGAAGAAUAAGCCCCGGCUAACUUCGU